UACAGAGGGCCCAAGCGUUGUUCGGAUUUACUGGGCUUAAAGGGCGCGUAGGCGGCCGUCCGAGUCCGGGGUGAAAUCUUUCGGCCUAACCGGAAAAGGGCCCUGGAUACUGGACGGCUCGAGGGGGGUAGGGGCAAGCGGAACUUCCGGUGGAGCGGUGAAAUGCGUUGAUAUCGGAAGGAACGCCGGCGGCGAAAGCGGCUUGCUGGACCCCUCCUGACGCUGAGGCGCGAAAGCCAGGGGAGCGAACGGG
rnacentral:rRNA from 1 species